UGCAAGCUGUUCUUGUGAUUAACCGAUUGUAAUACAAAUGGAAGUUCUAGUCAAGGUGAGAUUUGUAAAAUGUGAAGUGACAACAGCAUGGGAGGAGUUAAAGUAGAUAGUGAUUGAUUUAGUUUUCUAAAACAGGGAUGCCCUUUCAAAAGUUUUGAAGAUGCUGAAUUAAAGAAUUCAACGAAGUGAUUUGCUGAGAGGGACAAGCUUCCAUUCCCGAUGCCUGCUGAAUCAAGACUAUCUGCUCUGAUUGGAGGACUGUUCCAUACCCUUGCUACUGUAACGUGGAACAUAGACAAUAGAGUAUUUGGCUGCAGAUACUGCAUCAGUGCAAGAGGAUUUAUCAUGGACUGUUUGUGUCACAACAAACCACAAUGACAGAGGAAGACAUAACUUGGACUUCCCAUGAAGCGAGAACUAAAUACCUCCUGGCUGUGCCAGGACACUGAGAUAAAUGAUGCACGUGCAAUCCCUGCAAUGGAGCUUGGUAUGGCUGCCAGCAACACUUGCCUCACUUCUGCAAUGGGAAACACUGCAGCAGCUUUGGUGUGACAGCAUGUCCAACUCCACACAGCCCCCAGCUCCUCCUUUAAUAAAACAACUUCUUUUUCUGAGA